rnacentral:rRNA from 1 species
CAGGCCAGCAUCAGUUUGAGUGGUUAGAUAAAGGCCUCUGUCAAGUAUCUCCCUUCGGGGUGACCUUAUAGGGGAGGCGUAAUGCGACCAGCCCGGACUGAGGUCCGCGCAUCUGCUAGGAUGCUGGCGUAAUGGCUGUAAGCGG